AGGACGAACGCUGGCGGCGUGCUUAACACAUGCAAGUCGAACGGAAAGGCCCUUCGGGGUACUCGAGUGGCGAACGGGUGAGUAACACGUGGGUGAUCUGCCCUGCACUUUGGGAUAAGCCUGGGAAACUGGGUCUAAUACCGAAUACACCUUGCCGGCUGCAUGGUUGGUGGGGGAAAGCUUUUGCGGUGUGGGAUGAGCCCGCGGCCUAUCAGCUUGUUGGUGGGUGAUGGCCUACCAAGGCGACGACGGGU
rnacentral:rRNA from 1 species